AUGUAUAAGUUUAAUCGUUUAUCGAGAAACCGCGAACGGCUCAUUACAAUGGCCAUGAUUUACUUGAUCUUGAUUAUCUAAAUGGAUAACUGUGGAAAAGCUAGAGCUAAUACAUGCACCAAAGCUUUGUCCUCUCGGAAAAGCGCAUUUAUUAGAACAAAACCACGCGGCUUCGGCUGCUUCUUGUUGACUCAGAAUAACUAAGCUGACCGCAUGGCCUUGUGCCGGCGGCGUGUCUUUCAAGCGUCCACUUUAUCAACUUGACGGGAGCAUAAUCGACUCCCGUGGUGGUGACGGAUAACGGAGGAUCAGGGUUCGACUCCGGAGAAGGGGCCUGAGAAAUGGCCACUACGUCUAAGGAUGGCAGCAGGCGCGCAAAUUACCCACUCUCGGCUCGAGGAGGUAGUGACGAGAAAUAACGAGAUCGUUCUCUUUGAGGCCGGUCAUCGGAAUGGGUACAAUUUAAACCCUUUAACGAGUAUCAAGCAGAGGGCAAGUCUGGUGCCAGCAGCCGCGGUAAUUCCAGCUCUGCUAAUACAUAGAAUUAUUGCUGCGGUUAAAAAGCUCGUAGUUGGAUUCGUAUCGGUACCCUGGAACCCUCCGGGUGUUUCUGGGUGUUAUCGAUUUAUCGUAAUGUUCGGUUUUGAGUCCUUAACAGGAUUCUUAACAGGCAUUGCAAGUUUACUUUGAACAAAUCAGAGUGCUUCAAACAGGCGUUUUCGCUUGAAUGAUCGUGCAUGGAAUAAUAGAAAACGAUUUCGGUUCAGUUUUAUUGGUUUUACGGACUGAGAUAAUGGUUAACAGAGACAAACGGGGGCAUUUGUAUGGYCCCGUGAGAGGUGAAAUUCUUGGACCGUGGCCAGACAAACUACAGCGAAAGCAUUUGCCAAGAAUGUUUUUAUUAAUCAAGAACGAAAGUCAGAGGUUCGAAGGCGAUCAGAUACCGCCCUAGUUCUGACCGUAAACGAUGCCAACUAGCGAUCCGCCGAUGGAAAUUAUAUUGCCUUGGUGGGGAGCUUCCCGGAAACGAAAGUCUUCCGGUUCCGGGGGAAGUAUGGUUGCAAAGCUGAAACUUAAAGGAAUUGACGGAAGGGCACCACCAGGAGUGGAGCCUGCGGCUUAAUUUGACUCAACACGGGGAAACUCACCCGGCCCGGACACUGUGAGGAUUGACAGAUUGAUAGCUUUUUCAUGAUUCAGUGGAUGGUGGUGCAUGGCCGUUCUUAGUUCGUGGAGUGAUUUGUCUGGUUUAUUCCGAUAACGAGCGAGACUCUAACCUACUAAAUAGUUGGUACAUACUCUUAGUGUAUACAGCUUCUUAGAGGGAUUUGCGGCGUUCAGCCGAAAGAAAUUGAGCAAUAACAGGUCUGUGAUGCCCUUAGAUGUCCGGGGCUGCACGCGCGCUACACUGGCAAAAUCAACGUGCUUGUCCUACCCUGAAAGGGGCGGGUAAACCAUUGAAAAUUUGCCGUGAUUGGGAUCGGAAAUUGCAAUUAUUUUCCGUGAACGAGGAAUUCCAAGUAAGUGCGAGUCAUCAGCUCGCGUUGAUUACGUCCCUGCCCUUUGUACACACCGCCCGUCGCUGCCCGGGACUGAGCCAUUUCGAGAAAUUUGGGGACCGUUGAUUUAAUUUUUCUAAAUUACUUUGAUGGAAACCAAUUUAA
rnacentral:rRNA from 1 species